rnacentral:rRNA from 1 species
AUUGAACGCUGGCGGCAGGCCUAACACAUGCAAGUCGAACGGUAACAGGAAGAAGCUUGCUUCUUUGCUGACGAGUGGCGGACGGGUGAGUAAUGUCUGGGAAACUGCCUGAUGGAGGGGGAUAACUACUGGAAACGGUAGCUAAUACCGCAUAACGUCGCAAGGCCAAAGAGGGGGACCUUCGGGCCUCUUGCCAUCGGAUGUGCCCAGAUGGGAUUAGCUAGUAGGUGGGGUAACGGCUCACCUAGGCGACGGUCCCUAGCUGGUCUGAGAGGGUGACCCGCCAGACUGGAACUGAGACACGGUCCAGACUCCUACGGGAGGCAGCAGUGGGGAAUAUUGCACAAUGGGCGCAAGCCUGAUGCAGCCAUGCCGCGUGUAUGAAGAAGGCCUUCGGGUUGUAAAGUACUUUCAGCGGGGAGGAAGGGAGUAAAGUUAAUACCUGUGCUCAUUGACGUUACCCGAAGAAGAAGCCCCGGCUAACUCCGUG